rnacentral:tRNA from 1 species
AGGGAUGUAGCUCAAUGGUAGAGCACUUGCCUAGUGUGAAUGAGGCCCUGGAUUCCAUCCCCAGCACCACAA